UACGGAGGAUCCAAGCGUUAUCCGGAAUCAUUGGGUUUAAAGGGCGCGUAGGCGGAUUCUCAAGUCCGGGGUGAAAUCCCACAGCUCAACUGUGGAACUGCCUCGGAUACUGGGAGUCUCGAGGGUGGCAGGGGUAUGCGGAACUAUCGGUGGAGCGGUGAAAUGCGUUGAUAUCGAUAGGAACUCCGGUGGCGAAGGCGGCAUACUGGUCCACUUCUGACGCUGAGGCGCGAAAGCCAGGGGAGCAAACGGG
rnacentral:rRNA from 1 species